GCCUCCCGAGGUGUCGGGGCGGGCGGCCUCCGGAGCCGUGUGCGCAGGUUCGAAUCCUGCCGGGGGCACC
rnacentral:tRNA from 1 species